rnacentral:rRNA from 1 species
AUUGAACGCUGGCGGCAGGCCUAACACAUGCAAGUCGAGCGAGCGGCGGACGGGUGAGUAAUGUCUGGGAAACUGCCUGAUGGAGGGGGAUAACUACUGGAAACGAUAGCUAAUACCGCAUACCAUCAGAUGUGCCCAGAUGGGCUUAGCUAGUAGGUGGGGGAAUGGCUCACCUAGGCGACGAUCCCUAGCUGGUCUGAGAGGAUGACCCGCCACACUGGAACUGAGACACGGUCCAGACUACUCCGGGAGGCAGCCGUGGGUACUAUUGCACAAUGUGCGCAAGCCUGAUGCAGCCAUGCCGCGUGUCUGAAGAAGGCCUUCGGGUUGUAAAGUACUUUCAGCGAGGAGGCGUUACUCGCAGAAGAAGCACCGGCUAACUACGUGCCAGCCGCCGCGGUAAUAC